rnacentral:lncRNA from 1 species
GGCGGCCCGAGGUGACGGGACCCGCGGGCCCGGCGAGGGGACAGCGGCGCGGGCUGGAGUCGGCCGAGAUCCGACUGCCAGACACGGAGCGUUUGCGCCGGCACAGGAUUGCUUUUCAUUGGCGGGGAAGCAAGCGGGACUGAUCAGCGGUUGGCUCUGGGCUCUGGGUCUUAUUAUUUAUGCAGAGGUGACCAAAAGCCCUGGGCAUAGAGGGAAAAGCUAGAGGGUGACAACUGAGGAUGAGUUAUUAAGCGUUUUAUUCCAUGGCGGAGGAGUCUCCUGUUUCGCUCGCGUUCGCAGGACUGCGGGAAACGCGGAGCCGAAACGCGGGGCUACAACGCGGUGGACGGGGCGAGAAGGAGGUCGGUGCGGCGGCCCGGCGCCGCCAGGGCCCUCCCGGAGGCUGGGGGUCGAGGAGGAGAGCGGGGCUGCAGAAGCAAGGAGGGCAGGGGGAAGGCUGGAGGAUGACGGCUGGGGGAGCAUGGAGAAAAGUCAGUGAGCAGGAGAUCUUAAAUCUCAUCAUCUGCAUCUCACCAUGUGGCCUAACACCCGGUGGGAUGAAGAAGUUUGUCCUCCCCUCCUUUCCUGGCACUGAAUCUCAGCGCUUCCUUCUCCUCCCCAAGGUCACAGUGCUUUUAGUUCCCCUGGUCCUUGUCUGAUCCACAGAUACUCUUGAAGAAAACAUUCUCACAAAGGUGACUUCAUGUGUCUGCCAUGCCCCACCUCCCCUUAAAUUUGAAACACAGAACCAGAACACUGGGAAAGGCCCACUUUAACCUAUAGGAAUGACUUUCCUACUGGAAGAUUUCUACAACCUGGCAUUUGAACCGGGAGGGUCCUCUGAGGCUGAUUCUUCCCAAGGACAGUGAAAUCAGGUGGCCCAGUGUUCCGUUGGUUCGAAUCCUGAGCGCGGACAUGGCACUGCUCGUCAAACCACGCUGAGGCAGCGUCCCACAUGCCACAACUAGAAGGACCCACAACUAAGAAUAUACAACUAUGUACCGGGAGGCUUUGGGGAGAAAAAGGAAAAAAAUAAAAUCUUAAAAAAAAAAAA